rnacentral:rRNA from 1 species
UACGUAGGGGGCAAGCGUUGUCCGGAAUUAUUGGGCGUAAAGAGCGUGUAGGCGGCCCGGUAAGUCGGUUGUGAAAGUCAAGGGCUCAACCCUUGAAAGCCGACCGAUACUGCCGGGCUAGAAUCCGGAAGAGGCGAGUGGAAUUCCUGGUGUAGCGGUGAAAUGCGCAGAUAUCAGGAGGAACACCAAUGGCGAAGGCAGCUCGCUGGGACGGUAUUGACGCUGAGACGCGAAAGCGUGGGGAGCAAACAGG